rnacentral:lncRNA from 1 species
UCGAUAAGAGAUGUAGCAGCAGAGAUGCAUGCAAUCCGAGAUGCAUACCUAAUGUUUGGCAAUUAGAUUCCAGGGGAAUACGAGACAACAGAGCUGCUUCGAUCAACAAGCUGGUAGAAAUAACCCUGAAAUAGACAAAAAUAAAAUCCAAACAUGCUGUUUCAGGUUAAAAACUGCUCCAAGAGCUAUGUUUCUUUAUGUAAUGGAGCCGGUAUCAGAUAAUGUACAGCAGAUUUCACCUCAGGUUAUCAGCCUGAAGUUCCAGUUCUGCAAUAGCUACUUGGCUCGUCGCCUGGUACGAAUUCUGAAGGAUCCAUAAACCUGAUGAAAUCUGGCCGUGCGACGACCAUAAGUACACAAGCAGGAUGAAGUCAUUGAAUUCAAGCGAACAGCCGAACAGUAGUCAGUAGACACGAUUCAGAAUCCCACUUGUCAUAGUGCCCACAGCCCACAUGGGAAAACACCGAGGAAAAUGGAGCGAUACUUAUUCCUGAAGUGUAAUAUCACGUUUCCAGUCACUACAGCUGAAUGCUGCGAACUACUACCAACAAGGUUAGCCUUCGACGGCGAGAUCGGCGCCGCAGGACCGGGCAGCCGCAGCGCCCGAGCCCAGGCGGCACGCUCAGCG